GACGAACGCUGGCGGCGUGCUUAACACAUGCAAGUCGAACGGAAAGGCCCUGCUUUUGUGGGGUGCUCGAGUGGCGAACGGGUGAGUAACACGUGAGUAACCUGCCCUUGACUUUGGGAUAACUUCAGGAAACUGGGGCUAAUACCGGAUAGGAGCUCCUGCUGCAUGGUGGGGGUUGGAAAGUUUCGGCGGUUGGGGAUGGACUCGCGGCUUAUCAGCUUGUUGGUGGGGUAGUGGCUUACCAAGGCUUUGACGGGUAGCCGGCCUGAGCGGGUGACCGGCCACAUUGGGACUGGGAUACGGCCCAGACUCCUACGGGAGGCAGCAGUGGGGAAUAUUGCACAAGGGGCGGAGGCCUGAUGCAGCAACGCCGCGUGCGGGAUGACGGCCUUCGGGUUGUAAACCGCUUUCGCCUGUGACGAAGCGUGAGUGACGGUAAUGGGUAAAGAAGCACCGGCUAACUACGUG
rnacentral:rRNA from 1 species